CUGCCUUAGACAAAGGAUGCGCUCCGAGCCCCACCACACCUAAAGCCGCGCUUUGAAGGAUCUGCCAAGCUCACUUUUAAUCAUGAGAAAGAAAUUACCCACAUGGAGUCAGCAGAAAAUGAGAAAGUAGAGCUCGUGCUGCGAAUAAUUCCAGCAAGUGCCAAGGGGCUAGUUGAGGAAUGGCUUCACGAGG
rfam:Loxodonta africana cont3.8644, whole genome shotgun sequence.